rnacentral:rRNA from 1 species
AUGAGCAAAUUUCUUAUUGCGGUUCUGCUGCUCUCACUUCUUAAUGAUGGGAACCAUGUGGUCACACCAUGGGAAGAUCAAGACUUCUUUAAAAGUUGUCCACCGUCAAAGUGCAACAAAGAUGGGCCUGUGAUCCGCUUCCCACACCGGCUUGAAUCCAAGGAUGCAUCAUGCGGCGCACCUGGUAUGUAUUUAUCGUGCUCUGGAGAAGAUACUAUCAUGAGUCACCCGAUCAUGGGCUCGUGCAAAGUGACCGCAAUAAAUUACAAGCAUGGCACCAUGAAGGUCAUCCCGCUUGUAGAGUCCUUGUCUCACUGCCCAAUUCAGAAGAUCAUCUCAACCAGUCUAUCAACUGAUUAUCGCAACACCAGUGUUGGUUCACUGUCCAAUUCAGAGGAUAAGACACCAUAUGUUGAUGAACAUGCAAGCUUACUAUGUUGUUCAAGAGAGUUCACACCAAGUGCUGAAGCUUAUAAUUUUGUUGGCCCGAUCUCUUGUCUCAGUGAUGUGUGCAGUCUAUCAUAUUUGGUGGCUGCUCAAAUAUCCGUCUAUGUUCUUCCAUUAGACUGCAAGGUGGCUGCUCAUCGCAUCCGUAUACCCCGCGCAUAUAACAAGGAUGACGAGUAUUAUGAGGACUUGACCUUCAACGAGAGGGCAACCAGAAUCAUUAACUUUUCUGAGACUACACUUGCUUGGUCAGUUCGUGACAUUACCGACGUUCGCAUACAAUGUGAACAAGAAGGGAGACACUGUGGAUUCAGCUCACAGAGGAGGCUAGUAUUUUGCCAGCGUCAUGGUAUUGUUUCUUUCUUCAGGCAGAACUCCCCACAAUAA